GCGUUGCUAUAGGACUUUCUAUUUUGUGCUGUAUUCUGAGGAGCACAAAAUAAAAAGCCCGAUAACAACGCAU
rfam:Branchiostoma floridae genomic scaffold BRAFLscaffold_122, whole genome shotgun sequence.